AUACGGAGGGUCCGAGCGUUAUCCGGAAUCAUUGGGUUUAAAGGGUCCGUAGGCGGGAAUCUAAGUCAGUGGUGAAAUCUUGCAGCUCAACUGUAAAAUUGCCAUUGAUACUGGAUUUCUUGAAUUAGUGUGAAGUGGUUAGAAUGUGUAGUGUAGCGGUGAAAUGCAUAGAUAUUACACAGAAUACCAAUUGCGAAGGUAGAUCACUAACACUAUAUUGACGCUAAGGGACGAAAGCGUGGGGAGCGAACAGGAUUAGAUACCCCAGUAGUCC
rnacentral:rRNA from 1 species